AAUAGAUACCCAGGUAGUCCACGCCGUAAACGAUGAGUGCUAAGUGUUAGAGGGUUUCCGCCCUUUAGUGCUGCAGCUAACGCAUUAAGCACUCCGCCUGGGGAGUACGGUCGCAAGACUGAAACUCAAAGGAAUUGACGGGGGCCCGCACAAGCGGUGGAGCAUGUGGUUUAAUUCGAAGCAACGCGAAGAACCUUACCAGGUCUUGACAUCCUCUGACAACUCUAGAGAUAGAGCGUUCCCCUUCGGGGGACAGAGUGACAGGUGGUGCAUGGUUGUCGUCAGCUCGUGUCGUGAGAUGCUGGGUUAAGUCCCGCAACGAGCGCAACCCUUGAUCUUAGUUGCCAGCAUUUAGUUGGGCACUCUAAGGUGACUGCCGGUGACAAACCGGAGGAAGGUGGGGAUGACGUCAAAUCAUCAUGCCCCUUAUGACCUGGGCUACACACGUGCUACAAUGGAUGGUACAAAGGGCUGCAAGACCGCGAGGUCAAGCCAAUCCCAUAAAACCAUUCUCAGUUCGGAUUGGUA
rnacentral:rRNA from 1 species